rnacentral:rRNA from 1 species
UACGUAGGGCGCAAGCGUUGUCCGGAAUUAUUGGGCGUAAAGAGCUCGUAGGCGUCCUGUUGCGUCCGCUGUGAAAUCCCGGGGCUCAACCCCGGGCCUGCAGUGGAUACGGGCUGGCUGGAGGCAGGCAGGGGAGAACGGAAUUCCUGGUGUAGCGGUGAAAUGCGCAGAUAUCAGGAGGAACACCGGUGGCGAAGGCGGUUCUCUGGGCCUGUUCUGACGCUGAGGAGCGAAAGCGUGGGGAGCGAACAGG